rnacentral:rRNA from 1 species
AUGGUAGGAUAGAGGCCUACCAUGGUUUUAACGGGUAACGGGGAAUUAGGGUUCGAUUCCGGAGAGGGAGCCUGAGAAACGGCUACCACAUCCAAGGAAGGCAGCAGGCGCACAAAUUACCCAAUCCCGACACGGGGAGGUAGUGACAAUAAAUAACAAUAUGGGGCUCUUAUGAGUCUUGUAAUUGGAAUGAGUACAACUUAAAUCUCUUAACGAGGAACAAUUGGAGGGCAAGUCUGGUGCCAGCAGCCGCGGUAAUUCCAGCUCCAAUAGCGUAUAUUAAAGUUGUUGCAGUUAAAAAGCUCGUAGUUGAAUUUCGGGAUUUAUCCGUCGGUCGGGCUUUUGGGUCUGUACUGGCGUGAUGGAUUCCUACCUUCUGAAUAACCGGCAUGUCAUUAAUUUGGUGCGCCGGGGAAGCAGGACUGUUACCUUGAAAAAAUUAGAGUGCUUAAAGCAGGCUUAUGCCUGAAUACAUUAGCAUGGAAUAAUGAAAUAGGACGGCAUGGUUCUAUUUUGUUGGUUUCUAGGAUCACCGUAAUGAUUAAUAGGGAUAGUUGGGGGCAUUAGUAUUCAAUUGUCAGAGGUGAAAUUCUUGGAUUUAUUGAAGACUAACUUCUGCGAAAGCAUUUGCCAAGGAUGUUUUCAUUAAUCAAGAACGAAAGUUAGGGGAUCGAAGACGAUCAGAUACCGUCGUAGUCUUAACCAUAAACUAUGCCGACUAGGGAUCGGACGAUGUUAAUUUUUUAAUGACUCGUUCGGCGCCUUACGGGAAACCAAAGUGUUUGGG